rnacentral:rRNA from 1 species
CAGAGGCCCCGAGCGUUAGGCGGAAUCACUGGGCUUAAAGCGUGUGUAGGCGGGCCCGUAAGUGUCUUGUGAAAUCCCACGGCUCAACCGUGGAACUGCUGGGCAUACUGCGGGUCUUGGGCCAACUAGGGGCAGCCGGAACAAGCGGUGGAGCGGUGAAAUGCGUAGAUAUCGCUUGGAACGCCGAAGGUGAAAACAGGCUGCUGGGGUUGCGCCGACGCUGAGACACGAAAGCCAGGGGAGCAAACGGGAUUAGAUACCCCGGUAGUCCUGGCCCUAAACGAUGUCCACUAGAUCGCGGUGCGGUUUGACCCGCUCGCGGUCGGAGCAAAAGUGUUAAGUGGACCGCCUGGGAAGUACGGUCGCAAGGCUA